CACUAUUGAACCCAACAAUUGGUAUCAAGAGCUAGGACUUGUAUUUUACUCAAGUUUGUGUGCAAUAUGUCUGAGUUUAAAGUGUUGUUUGUUGAGGGUUCGUCUAUUAAUAGACCCCUUAUGUUUAGUGGAAUGAAUUAUGCUUUCUGGAAAAUUAAAAUGAAUAUUUUCAUGGAAUCUAUUUACUUUGGUAUUUGGAAGGGUGUGGUCGAUGUACCCUUUUUGUGCCAAUGUAGGUUAUCAA
rnacentral:lncRNA from 1 species